AUUUAUAUAGUUUAUAAAAACAUUACAUUUUCAUUGUAAAAAUAAAGAAAUAUUCUUUUAUAAAUU
rnacentral:tRNA from 1 species